rnacentral:rRNA from 1 species
AUUGAACGCUGGCGGAAUGCUUUACACAUGCAAGUCGAACGGUAGAGGGGGCAACCCCUCGAGAGUGGCGAACGGGUGAGUAAUAUAUCGGAACGUGCCCAGUCGUGGGGGAUAACGUAGCGAAAGUUACGCUAAAACCGCAUACGAUCUAAGGAUGAAAGCGGGGGAUCGCAAGACCUCGCGCGAUUGGAGCGGCCGAUAUCAGAUUAGGUAGUUGGUGGGGUAAAGGCUCACCAAGCCAACGAUCUGUAGCUGGUCUGAGAGGACGACCAGCCACACUGGAACUGAGUCACGGUCCAGACUCCUACGGGAGGCAUCAGUGAGGAAUUGUGGACAAUUGACGCAAGUCUGAUCCAGCCAUUCCGCGUGCAGGAUGAAGGCCCUCGGUUUGUAAACUGCUUUUGUACGGAACGAAAAGGUCUCUCUUAAUACGGGGGACUCAUGACGGUACCGUAAGAAUAAGCACCGGCUAACUACGUGCCAGCCGCCGCGGUAA